UGCUACUGUUCUUGCUGCUGCUGCUGCUACUACUGGUAAGUUCCACCCGAUGUGGUGUCCCCAGGAGCUAAAAGACAAGCAUGAUGUCAGGGAGCAGGUGGUCUUCUGCAGAGCUGACAGCAUGCAGUUUGGAGUCAGGCCCGAGUUCAGACAUCAACUCGACCCUUACUCGCCACGCAGCAAGGUCUGAACUUCGCUUGCUCCUCUGUUAAAGUGGGAAUAAUUGGCACAAUGCCUCCCUCACUGCCUUCUUCUAAGACUCAAACGAGAUAAUUUAUGUAGAAGUUUUAGCCCCUGCUCCUGUUGCAAUGGGAAUGUACUGGGAUGAUGUAUUUACUGGGGAGAUGCAGAAGAUGAUGAGGGAGAUGGCGAGCAUAGAUGCUGCUCAGGGCAUGCCCGUCGAAUGAAUUAAAAAUGGCCCCUACACGUGAGACCCUCCCUCCAUCCAGAGACACGGACAUGGAAGUCAGUCGCCCAGUAUCUUAGGAUCCAGGCUGUGAGCAAGGUUGGGACAAGAUGCUGUGUGAGCCAAAGGACAGAGCACCCAGAUCUGCUUGGAGAGGCCCCGUCCCAGCUGUGCCCUCCUUCCUCGGGGGUUCUGACAUGCUUCUCGUUGCCAGGGCAUCCUUGCUGCUCUCCUGAAGACCCACCAGGAAGCAGGGUUCUCCUGCCAAAGAGCCACCCCCUCUGCCUGCCUUGCUGACAGCCGGCCUUCACCCAGGCAGAAGAUGAAUGGCAGAACGCAGAUGCAGAGAGAGUAGCUGACUUGCUGUAGUCUUCCAGCGAGAGCAAGUUGGAGCUGAGGUAGAAUGGCCGGGGGAGCCACAGUUUGGAAAGCCUUGGUACCAGGUCGAGGAGUCUCCAUUUUAUUGGGUGCACAGCCCACAUGCAUGAAAGAGGAAAUCAUAAAAUAUGGAAUGAACACCAGUGGUCGCUGGUAAAAAGCUACAAUCGGGAAGGCAAGGAAGACAACCUCACCUGAUGACUUUGGGCGAACUUCUGAACCUUGUUGACCAUUGACUCCUCUGUGUCAAAGGGAAGAGCUGGAUUCAGAGAUCUCUACAGCUCCUUCCUUCACUAUCCAGCUAUAAAUGCCCCUUUGAAAUUACUUUGGAGGAAGGAGAAUUCAUUUCAUUUCAUGCUUUCAUGGCUUUAUGCAUUCAUUCCACUGUCCUUUCCUUUAACAAAUACUUAUGCAUGUGCCACAUCCUGUGUAAACCAUGAAAGAUAAAUAAAUGUGUAAGACAAAGCUGCUGUGCUCAAGAUUAUCCAGAGUGGAGGAAUUGUUUUUCGAUUCUAGAUAUUUCUCUUUCUAAAUCACUCUUCUUAAUAAUACAGGUGCAGCUUCAGAACAUUGUGAUAAUUCCAAAGUUUUGAUUACUUUUAGUGUUUUGUGCUGAAAAAGAAAAACAAAUAAUAAAAUCUUAUAGACAGAAGGGUUUUUUAAACAAUAUCCAUUCCUUUCUAAUAUCCAUAUGAUGUUUGAAGCACCUCGCCAAUAGCAUCUCCCUUGGCAGAGACCUCACCUUUGCAGGUAUACCCCCUAAA